UGAACCUUUACAUAAAUGUGACACCUCACA
rnacentral:piRNA from 1 species